CCCCAUCUGGUCUGUACAAAGGGCAGUUAUCUCGCACCUUAUGGAGUGGAAUAGAAAGUUGCCUAGCAAGAACUCCCAAAGGAUUAGCAUGUAUACCAGUAAUAACACUGCCUCCAAGAUCCACAGCAGCAAAUUGGUCUUUCCUACCCAUUUUUUGAGUAUAAACUCUCCCUCCAGGACGAUUCCUACCUUCUAAAACAACCACCUUAAAACCAAAGGACAUGAGUUGUCUUGCUGCUGAUAAACCAGCAAGUC
rnacentral:misc_RNA from 1 species